AUUGAACGCUGGCGGCAGGCCUAACACAUGCAAGUCGAACGGUAACAGAAAGCAGCUUGCUGCUUUGCUGACGAGUGGCGGACGGGUGAGUAAUGUCUGGGAAACUGCCUGAUGGAGGGGGAUAACUACUGGAAACGGUAGCUAAUACCGCAUAACGUCGCAAGACCAAAGAGGGGGACCUUCGGGCCUCUUGCCAUCGGAUGUGCCCAGAUGGGAUUAGCUAGUAGGUGGGGUAACGGCUCACCUAGGCGACGAUCCCUAGCUGGUCUGAGAGGAUGACCAGCCACACUGGAACUGAGACACGGUCCAGACUCCUACGGGAGGCAGCAGUGGGGAAUAUUGCACAAUGGGCGCAAGCCUGAUUCAGCCAUGCCGCGUGUAUGAAGAAGGCCUUCGGGUUGUAAAGUACUUUCAGCGGGGAGGAAGGGAGUAAAGUUAAUACCUUUGCUCAUUGACGUUACCCGCAGAAGAAGCACCGGCUAACUCCGUG
rnacentral:rRNA from 1 species